rnacentral:rRNA from 5 species
GGGUUGUGAGGUUAAGCGACUAAGCGUACACGGUGGAUGCCCUGGCAGUCAGAGGCGAUGAAGGGCGUGCUAAUCUGCGAUAAGCGCCGGUAAGGUGAUAUGAACCGUUAUAACCGGCGAUACCCGAAUGGGGAAACCCAGUGUGACUCGUCACACUAUCAUUAACUGAAUCCAUAGGUUAAUGAGGCGAACCGGGGGAACUGAAACAUCUAAGUACCCCGAGGAAAAGAAAUCAACCGAGAUUCCCCCAGUAGCGGCGAGCGAACGGGGAGGAGCCCAGAGCCUGAAUCAGCAUGUGUGUUAGUGGAAGCGUCUGGAAAGGCGCGCGAUACAGGGUGACAGCCCCGUACACAAAAGCGCAUGUGCUGUGAGCUCGAUGAGUAGGGCGGGACACGUGGUAUCCUGUCUGAAUAUGGGGGGACCAUCCUCCAAGGCUAAAUACUCCUGACUGACCGAUAGUGAACCAGUACCGUGAGGGAAAGGCGAAAAGAACCCCGGCGAGGGGAGUGAAAAAGAACCUGAAACCGUGUACGUACAAGCAGUGGGAGCCCCACCACUAAGCCAGUGGUGAACUCCACAUACGCAUCCUUUGCUGAGGAUACGGUUAACGGAGCGCAAGCGACGUUCAACCGCAAAAGAAGCAGAGGGGGCUUAGUGGUGGGGUGACUGCGUACCUUUUGUAUAAUGGGUCAGCGACUUAUAUUCUGUAGCAAGGUUAACCGUAUAGGGGAGCCGGAGGGAAACCGAGUCUUAAU